rnacentral:rRNA from 1 species
CAGCAGCCGCGGUAAUACGUAGGGUGCAAGCGUUAAUCGGAAUUACUGGGCGUAAAGCGUGCGCAGGCGGUUAUGCAAGACAGAGGUGAAAUCCCCGGGCUCAACCUGGGAACUGCCUUUGUGACUGCAUGGCUAGAGUACGGUAGAGGGGGAUGGAAUUCCGCGUGUAGCAGUGAAAUGCGUAGAUAUGCGGAGGAACACCGAUGGCGAAGGCAAUCCCCUGGACCUGUACUGACGCUCAUGCACGAAAGCGUGGGGAGCAAACAGGAUUAGAUACCCUGGUAGUCCACGCCCUAAACGAUGUCAACUGGUUGUUGGGAGGGUUUCUUCUCAGUAACGUAGCUAACGCGUGAAGUUGACCGCCUGGGGAGUACGGCCGCAAGGUUGAAACUCAAAUAAAUUGACGG